UACCUGGUUGAUCCUGCCAGUAAUCAUAUGCUUGUCUCAAAGAUUAAGCCAUGCAUGUCUAAGUACAUGCCGAAAUAAGGCGAAACCGCGAAUGGCUCAUUAAAUCAGUUAUGGUUCCUUAGAUCGUUUCUUCCUACUUGGAUAACUGUGGCAAUUCUAGAGCUAAUACAUGCAGUGAGCCUGAAGCCCUUUGGGCGACGGGUGCUUUUAUUAGACCAAGAUCGAUCGGGUUUCGGCCCGUAUUGUGUGGUGACUCUGGAUAACUUUGUGCUGAUCGCAUGGCCACGAGCCGGCGACGUUUCUUUCAAGUGUCUGCCUUAUCAACUUUCGAUGGUAGGUUACUUGCUUACCAUGGUUGUUACGGGUAACGGAGAAUCAGGGUUCGAUUCCGGAGAGGGAGCCUGAGAAACGGCUACCACAUCCAAGGAAGGCAGCAGGCGCGCAAAUUACCCACUCCCGGCACGGGGAGGUAGUGACGAAAAAUAACAAUACGGGACUCUUUUGAGGCCCCGUAAUUGAAAUGAGUACACUCUAAAUCCUUUAACGAGGAUCAAUUGGAGGGCAAGUCUGGUGCCAGCAGCCGCGGUAAUUCCAGCUCCAAUAGCGUAUACUAAAGCUGCUGCGGUUAAAAAGCUCGUAGUUGGAUCUCAGUUCCAGACGAGUAGUGCAUCUACCCGAUGCGACGGCUCGGAGCUGAACAUCAUGCCGGUCCUUUCUUGGUGCACUUCAUUGUGUGCCUCGAGAAGGCCGGUGCUUUUACUUUGAAAAAAUUAGAGUGCUCAACGCAGGCGAGUCGCCUGAAUAAACUUGCAUGGAAUAAUAGAACAAGACCUCGUUUCUGUUCUGUUGGUUUUUGGAAUACGAGGUAAUGAUUAAGAGGGACAGACGGGGGCAUUCGUAUUGCGGCGCUAGAGGUGAAAUUCUUGGACCGUCGCAAGACGAACUACUGCGAAAGCAUUUGCCAAGAAUGUUUUCUUUGAUCAAGAACGAAAGUCAGAGGUUCGAAGGCGAUCAGAUACCGCCCUAGUUCUGACCAUAAACGAUGCCAACCAGCGAUCCGCCUGAGUUACUCAAAUGACUCGGCGGGCAGCUUCCGGGAAACCAAAGUGUUUGGGUUCCGGGGGAAGUAUGGUUGCAAAGCUGAAACUUAAAGGAAUUGACGGAAGGGCACCACCAGGAGUGGAGCCUGCGGCUUAAUUUGACUCAACACGGGAAAACUUACCCGGCCCGGACACUGGGAGGAUUGACAGAUUGAGAGCUCUUUCUUGAUUCGGUGGAUGGUGGUGCAUGGCCGUUCUUAGUUGGUGGAGCGAUUUGUCUGGUUAAUUCCGAUAACGAACGAGACUCUAGCCUAUUAAAUAGGUGCGGGGUUCCCAGCACCUUACAACCUUCUUAGAGGGACAAGCGGCUCCUAGCCGCACGAAACAGAGCAAUAACAGGUCUGUGAUGCCCUUAGAUGUCCGGGGCCGCACGCGCGCUACACUGAAGGAAGCAGCGUGUCUUUAUCCCUGUCUGAAAGGACUGGGUAACCCGUGGAACUUCUUUCGUGAUUGGGAUAGGGGCUUGCAAUUGUUCCCCUUGAACGAGGAAUUCCCAGUAAGCGCGAGUCAUAAGCUCGCGUUGAUUACGUCCCUGCCCUUUGUACACACCGCCCGUCGCUACUACCGAUUGAAUGAUUUAGUGAGGUCUUCGGACCGAUGUCCGGCGCGGCCUUUCGGUUGCGCCGGUCUGUUGGAAAGAUGACCAAACUUGAUCAUUUAGAGGAAGUAAAAGUCGUAACAAGGUUUCCGUAGGUGAACCUGCGGAAGGAUCAUUA
rnacentral:rRNA from 1 species